rnacentral:rRNA from 1 species
GAUGAACGCUGGCGGCGUGCCUAAUACAUGCAAGUCGAGCGAAUGGAUUAAGAGCUUGCUCUUAUGAAGUUAGCGGCGGACGGGUGAGUAACACGUGGGUAACCUGCCCAUAAGACUGGGAUAACUCCGGGAAACCGGGGCUAAUACCGGAUAACAUUUUGAACCGCAUGGUUCAAAAUUGAAAGGCGGCUUCGGCUGUCACUUAUGGAUGGACCCGCGUCGCAUUAGCUAGUUGGUGAGGUAACGGCUCACCAAGGCAACGAUGCGUAGCCGACCUGAGAGGGGGAUCGGCCACACUGGGACUUAGACACGGCCCAGACUCCUACGGGAGGCAGCAGUAGGGAAUCUUCCGCAAUGGACGAAAGUCUGACGGAGCAACGCCGCGUGAGUGAUGAAGGCUUUCGGGUCGUAAAACUCUGUUGUUAGGGAAGAACAAGUGCUAGUUGAAUAAGCUGGCACCUUGACGGUACCUAACCAGGAAGCCACGGCUAACUACGUGCCAGCAGCCGCGGUAA